GUAACUUUGAUUUUUUGUUUUUUUUGGUUUACUAUAAUUUAUUAUUUUUUCAUUUAUAUUUUGAUUUAUAUUAUUAUUGUAAAUAAUAUUUAUUUCUAUUUAGUUAACCACGGAGAUGAAACUGAAGUUAACCACGGAGAUGAAACUGAAGUUGACAAUGAUGGGGAAGAUGAAAGUAAGUUUUAAAUUUUGUAACUAUUUUAGUAGAACUAAAUAUAUAUGUUAAUGAUAACUUCUGUCUAAAACAAGAUGUUAAUUGUAUAUA